rnacentral:rRNA from 1 species
GAUGAACGCUAGCGGCAGGCUUAACACAUGCAAGUCGAGGGCAGCGCGAUGUAGCAAUACAUUGGCGGCGACCGGCGCACGGGUGCGUAACACGUAUGGAACUUACCCUUUGCUGGGAGAUAGCCCGGAGAAAUCCGGAUUAAUAUCCCAUAAUAAACGAAGUGGCAUCACUUUGUUUUGAAAGCUCCGGCGGUAAAGGAUGGCCAUGCGCACGAUUAGCUAGUAGGUGAGGUAACGGCUCACCUAGGCUACGAUCGUUAGGGGGCCUGAGAGGGUUAUCCCCCACACUGGUACUGAGACACGGACCAGACUCCUACGGGAGGCAGCAGUGAGGAAUAUUGCGCAAUGGAGGCAACUCUGACGCAGCCAUGCCGCGUGCAGGAAGAAGGCGCUACGCGUUGUAAACUGCUUUUAACCGGGAGAAACCCUCCGACGUGUCGGAGGUUGACGGUACCGGAGGAAUAAGCACCGGCUAACUUCGUGCCAGCAGCCGCGGUAAAGUAUCG